UACGUAGGGUGCGAGUGUUAAUCGGAAUUACUGGGCGUAAAGCGUGCGCAGGCGGUUUGUUAAGCCAGAUGUGAAAGCCCCGGGCUCAACCUGGGAACUGCGUUUGGUACUGGCAAGCUAGAGUACGGCAGAGGGGGGUGGAAUUCCACGUGUAGCAGUGAAAUGCGUAGAGAUGUGGAGGAACACCGAUGGCGAAGGCAGCCCCCUGGGCCGAUACUGACGCUGAAGCACGAAAGCGUGGGGAGCAAACAGG
rnacentral:rRNA from 1 species